rnacentral:rRNA from 1 species
GAAAGAUUCAUCGGAAGAGGAUGGGCAUGCGGCGCAUUAGCUAGACGGCGGGGUAACGGCCCACCGUGGCGACGAUGCGUAGGGGUUCUGAGAGGAACCUCCCCCACACUGGUACUGAGACACGGACCAGACUCCUACGGGAGGCAGCAGUGAGGAAUAUUGGUCAAUGGGAGAGAUCCUGAACCAGCCAAGCCGCGUGAGGGAAGACGGCCCUAUGGGUUGUAAACCUCUUUUGUCGGAGAACAAAACCCGGGACGUGUCCCGGACUGCGUGUAUCCGAAGAAAAAGCAUCGGCUAACUCCGUGCCAGCAGCCGCGGUAAUACGGAGGAUGCGAGCGUUAUCCGGAUUUAUUGGGUUUAAAGGGUGCGUAGGCGGUCCGUUAAGUCAGCGGUAAAAUUGCGGGGCUCAACCCCGUCGAGCCGUUGAAACUGGCAGACUUGAGUUGGCGAGAAGUACGCGGAAUGCGCGGUGUAGCGGUGAAAUGCAUAGAUAUCGCGCAGAACUCCGAUUGCGAAGGCAGCGUACCGGCGCCAGACUGACGCUGAGGCACGAAAGCGUGGGGAUCGAACAGGAUUAGAUACCCUGGUAGUCCACGCAGUAAACGAUGAAUGCUGGUUGUCCGGGUCGAAUGAGAUCUGG